AGAGUUUGAUCCUGGCUCAGGACGAACGCUGGCGGCGUGCCUAAUACAUGCAAGUUGAGCGCUGAAGGUUGGUACUUGUACCGACUGGAUGAGCAGCGAACGGGUGAGUAACGCGUGGGGAAUCUGCCUUUGAGCGGGGGACAACAUUUGGAAACGAAUGCUAAUACCGCAUAAAAACUUUAAACACAAGUUUUAAGUUUGAAAGAUGCAAUUGCAUCACUCAAAGAUGAUCCCGCGUUGUAUUAGCUAGUUGGUGAGGUAAAGGCUCACCAAGGCGAUGAUACAUAGCCGACCUGAGAGGGUGAUCGGCCACAUUGGGACUGAGACACGGCCCAAACUCCUACGGGAGGCAGCAGUAGGGAAUCUUCGGCAAUGGACGAAAGUCUGACCGAGCAACGCCGCGUGAGUGAAGAAGGUUUUCGGAUCGUAAAACUCUGUUGGUAGAGAAGAACGUUGAUGAGAGUGGAAAGCUCAUCAAGUGACGGUAACUACCCAGAAAGGGACGGCUAACUACGUGCCAGCAGCCGCGGUAAUACGUAGGUCCCGAGCGUUGUCCGGAUUUAUUGGGCGUAAAGCGAGCGCAGGUGGUUUAUUAAGUCUGGUGUAAAAGGCAGUGGCUCAACCAUUGUAUGCAUUGGAAACUGGUAGACUUGAGUGCAGGAGAGGAGAGUGGAAUUCCAUGUGUAGCGGUGAAAUGCGUAGAUAUAUGGAGGAACACCGGUGGCGAAAGCGGCUCUCUGGCCUGUAACUGACACUGAGGCUCGAAAGCGUGGGGAGCAAACAGGAUUAGAUACCCUGGUAGUCCACGCCGUAAAC
rnacentral:rRNA from 1 species